rnacentral:rRNA from 1 species
UACGUAGGGGGCUAGCGUUGUCCGGAUUUAUUGGGCGUAAAGAGCGUGUAGGCGGCCAGGUAGGUCUGCUGUGAAAACUCGAGGCUCAACCUCGAGAUGUCGGCGGAAACCAUCUGGCUAGAGUCCGGAAGAGGAGAGUGGAAUUCCCGGGUGUAGCGGUGAAAUGCGCAGAUAUCGGGAAGAACACCCGUGGCGAAGGCGGCUCUCUGGGACGGUACUGACGCUGAGACGCGAAAGCGUGGGGAGCGAACAGG